UACCAGCACCCCGAGUGGUCGGGACGAUUAUUGGGCCUAAAGCAUCCGUAGCCGGUUUUACAAGUCCUCCGUUAUAUCCAGCUGCUUAACAGAUGGGCUGCGGAGGAUACUAUAAGACUAGGAGGCAGGAGAGGCAAGCGGUACUCAGUGGGUAGGGGUAAAAUCCGUUGAUCCAUUGAAGACCACCAGUGGCGAAGGCGGCUUGCCAGAAUGCGCUCGACGGUGAGGGAUGAAAGCUGGGGGAGCAAACCGG
rnacentral:rRNA from 1 species